AUUGAACGCUGGCGGCAUGCUUUACACAUGCAAGUCGAACGGUAACAGGCCGCAAGGUGCUGACGAGUGGCGAACGGGUGAGUAAUGCAUCGGAACGUGCCCAGUCGUGGGGGAUAACGCAGCGAAAGCUGCGCUAAUACCGCAUACGAUCUAUGGAUGAAAGCGGGGGACCGUAAGGCCUCGCGCGAUUGGAGCGGCCGAUGUCAGAUUAGGUAGUUGGUGGGGUAAAGGCCUACCAAGCCAACGAUCUGUAGCUGGUCUGAGAGGACGACCAGCCACACUGGGACUGAGGAACGGCCCAGACUCCUACGGGAGGCAGCAGUGGGGAAUUUUGGACAAUGGGCGCAAGCCUGAUCCAGCAAUGCCGCGUGCAGGAAGAAGGCCUUCGGGUUGUAAACUGCUUUUGUACGGAACGAAACGGUCCGGGUUAAUACCCUGGGCUAAUGACGGUACCGUAAGAAUAAGCACCGGCUAACUACGUGCCAGCAGCCGCAGUAACAC
rnacentral:rRNA from 1 species